AACUCCAAAUCUAUUCAUCCCCUUUGAGGGUGAAACCUUCAAGAAAACUUUGUCUCUUAUCUCGAAACUUUGUCUCACAUCUUAUAGGUAAACUCAAUUAGUGGCAACACAUUCUCCCGAUUUACUCCUCUAUCAAGGAUAGUAGUUCCUAUAAUAUCUUCUAUCGCCUGCUAUGCUAACAUUCAUCCUUGUACCCAACUCUUUCUGUAACUCAUCCAAAAACGUGAUGUAAAUUUUUUUUUUUUCUGAGGUGAUCUACACCGGUACUCAAUGCAAUCUUAUAAUCUCACGAACGUACAAUUGUGAUAACUUAUCUGGUCCAUACGCGAUU
rnacentral:lncRNA from 1 species